UUGGAGGGCAAGUCUGGUGCCAGCAGCCGCGGUAAUUCCAGCUCCAAUAGCGUAUAUUAAAGUUGUUGCAGUUAAAAAGCUCGUAGUUGAAUUUCGAGAUCAGUACGCUGGUCGUGCCUUCGGUAUGCACUGGUGUCACUGGUUUCUCCCUUCUGAAGAACCGUCAUGUCAUUAAGUUGGUGUGGCGGGGAAUCAGGACUGUUACUUUGAAAAAAUUUGAGUGUUUAAAGCAGGCUCGCGCUUGAAUACAUUAGCAUGGAAUAAUGAAAUAGGACGUUUGACCCUAUUUUGUUGGUUUCUAGGAUCGACGUAAUGAUUAAUAGGGAUAGUUGGGGGCAUUAGUAUUCAAUUGUCAGAGGUGAAAUUCUUGGAUUUAUUGAAGACUAACUACUGCGAAAGCAUUUGCCAAGGAUGUUUUCAUUAAUCAAGAACGAAAGUUAGGGGAUCGAAGACGAUCAGAUACCGUCGUAGUCUUAACCAUAAACUAUGCCGACUAGGGAUCGGAUGAUGUUAAUUUUUUAAUGACUCAUUCGGCGCCUUACGGGAAAC
rnacentral:rRNA from 1 species